rnacentral:rRNA from 1 species
AUCAGUGGCGAACGGGUGAGUAACACGUGAGUAACCUGCCCCAGACUCCGGGAUAAGCCUUGGAAACGAGGUCUAAUACUGGAUACGAGAUGCCCCUGCAUGGGGAGUGUCUGGAAAGAUUUAUCGGUCUGGGAUGGACUCGCGGCCUAUCAGCUUGUUGGUGGGGUAAUGGCCUACCAAGGCGACGACGGGUAGCCGGCCUGAGAGGGCGACCGGCCACACUGGGACUGAGACACGGCCCAGACUCCUACGGGAGGCAGCAGUGGGGAAUAUUGCACAAUGGGCGCAAGCCUGAUGCAGCGACGCCGCGUGAGGGAUGAAGGCCUUCGGGUUGUAAACCUCUUUCAGCAGGGAAGAAGCGCAAGUGACGGUACCUGCAGAAGAAGCGCCGGCUAACUACGUGCCAGCAGCCGCGGUAAUACGUAGGGCGCAAGCGUUGUCCGGAAUUAUUGGGCGUAAAGAGCUCGUAGGCGGUUUGUCGCGUCUGGUGUGAAAACUCAAGGCUCAACCUUGAGCUUGCAUCGGGUACGGGCAGACUAGAGUGCGGUAGGGGUGACUGGAAUUCCUGGUGUAGCGGUGGAAUGCGCAGAUAUCAGGAGGAACACCGAUGGCGAAGGCAGGUCACUGGGCCGCAACUGACGCUGAGGAGCGAAAGCAUGGGGAGCGAACAGGAUUAGAUACCCUGGUAGUCCAUGCCGUAAACGUUGGGCACUAGGUGUGGGGCUCAUUCCACGAGUUCCGUGCCGCAGCAAACGCAUUAAGUGCCCCGCCUGGGGAGUACGGCCGCAAGGCUAAAACUCAAAGGAAUUGACGGGGGCCCGCACAAGCGGCGGAGCAUGCGGAUUAAUUCGAUGCAACGCGAAGAACCUUACCAAGGCUUGACAUACACCGGAAACUUCCAGAGAUGGUUGCCCCGCAAGGUCGGUGUACAGGUGGUGCAUGGUUGUCGUCAGCUCGUGUCGUGAGAUGUUGGGUUAAGUCCCGCAACGAGCGCAACCCUCGUCUUAUGUUGCCAGCACGUCAUGGUGGGGACUCAUAAGAGACUGCCGGGGUCAACUCGGAGGAAGGUGGGGAUGACGUCAAAUCAUCAUGCCCCUUAUGUCUUGGGCUUCACGCAUGCUACAAUGGCCGGUACAAAGGGCUGCGAUACCGCGAGGUGGAGCGAAUCCCAAAAAGCCGGUCUCAGUUCGGAUUGGGGUCUGCAACUCGACCCCAUGAAGUCGGAGUCGCUAGUAAUCGCAGAUCAGCAACGCUGCGGUGAAUACGUUCCCGGGCCUUGUACACACCGCCCGUCAAGUCACGAAAGUCGGUAACA